AAAAGCGUCGAACGAUUGCCCAAUCAAAAAUUACUAAUACAUGUCCUGUCGACUGACCAUCAUUACUCAUUUCUUUUUGACGGUUUCAGUUCUCGGGAAAGCUUCUCCUUUCAAAAUCUUAUUCAUUUACUUUUCUUAAGACGAUCCUCUCAUUUAUCUUCUUCUUUGAUCAUAUUCAGUCUGGUUCACGCACCCAAUCGAUUUCCUUUUGAUUUUCGGCAUACCCAGAGACCUUUAUUACCAGAGAAUCUCCUUUGAUUAUGAUUGCCAGCCAUUUCUUUUCGAUUCCUAUUUGGACUGUUUUUCUACAUGCAAUUGCUUCAGCAGCAAAGGCGGAUGCCACCCCUUGAUGGAUUUUUGAGCAAGAUAAGAGGACUAUCCCUUCUUUAUUCCUGGCCACAAUACCUGAAGCCAAUUGGUAAUGGCGCCCAUCAUACAAUCAAACAUAAUUUUAAUGAAUUCACUAGUAUUUCUUUCUCCCCAGAUGGCCCAGAGUGCACAACAAAAAAGAUAAUAUUAACAAGGGGUAAACUGAUCAAAAACUUAGGGCAUUCACGAAAUAUAUGAUCGAUUGUUUUAGCUCUUCCGCGACAUUGGGGGCAACUUGUAUUAUUCCUGUUUUUUUUUCCUGCAUAUUGACUAUUGUAGGCAAAUAGUUUCGUGAUAUUCUCCAGAUUGUAAACUUGAUUUUUGUUGGUAGAUUUAGGAGCCAGAGUUUUUUUGUAAAAUUUCCUGUAGACGGUUUGUAAAGUGUAAGCUCUAGGAUUUUCAUCAGAAGUUUGUAAUAGUUUAUAGUCGCUCCGAACCAAAAACUUGUCGGAAGAUUCACCUCCCCAGACAAGAAAUCAUCAUGAGGUACUCGUGCCAAGGGGAUCCGGAGGAUUUUUUUUGUAUCUUCCUCUGAAAAGGUAUUGUUAAUCA